ensembl:lncRNA
GCUCAUAGUACAACCCAGACAGUGGAACAAGUGGCUGAAGUGCUGUCAUGAAUCGUGGUACGAUUGCCCGUAGUUUACGGAAGAGGUACUGUGUGGAAAGAAAGUCAGAGGAUAGUGGCUUGGGUAAGAAGAGCGUGGAGACCCAGGGUGAAGAAGAGGAGGUGAGUUCCUUGCAAAAAGGAAAGUCAGAGGAUAGUGGAUUGGGUGAGAAGAGUGUAGAGAAUCAGUGUGAAGAAGAGAAUAUGAGUUCCUUGCAAAAAGGAAAGUCAGAGGAUAGUGGAUUGGAUGAGAAGAGUGUGGAGACCCAGCAUGAAGAAGAGGAGGAAAGGUUAUCAGAGGAAGUGGAUUAGAUGAGGAGGGACUGUUGCACCCAGAUGAAGAAGAGCCAGAAGACAUGGAUGUCACAGUUCCAAUGGAUGACCAGGAAAUCCAACUGCCACGUCUGGACAGAUGUUCAAAGUGUUUCUGCUUUCAUCAUUUCAAUUUUGUGUUAGAACAAAAAACCUUAAAGGCUGAGUAACAAAAAAGUUCAAGACACCC